UGCCUCCCCCAUUGUCCGAACGCGCGGGCCGCGGAGUCGGACACGAGGGGAGCCGGGCCGGCUCGCGAGUCCCGCUCUGCCGUGGGCGGGGAGUGAGGCCCGGAACAAAGGGCGCGGCUCCUCAUUUCAUGGCGCUCAGAGGGCCCCGUGGGAAGGGAAACAACCAGUCAGUAUGGAACGACAAAUUCUGGAGCGUAAGCGUUUCCUUGAAAGCACAAAUACUCCUCAGAGACCAUGACACCGGAUCAGCGACUGCAACCCUACUCUACAAGUCAGACAGACAAACGGAAUCAUUCUGCAGCCUCACACUCCACCAUUUAUCAAGAGCCUACUGGGAGCCGCGGGGCACUGUUCGUGGUGCUGGAACACGGCGCGUCCAGGGGGCGCUAGAGGGCGCCUGUGAGCUUCAGCCUUCAGGAGGAUGGGCCACGGCUAACACGGUGGGCGACCACGCAAGUCCAAAGGGAAGCCUGUGAAAACCGGGUGUCUGAAGACCAGGCCAGACGGUGCAGAGUGGAAAGCAGGAUGAGCCUGCCCUGAAGGGGGCUUCUGCCUGGAAGGCAGUCCCAGUGCCAUCAGAGAUCUGCUGGGCAGGAGUUCCGAUAAAGAUGCUCAAGUUUAAAACAUGGGUGUUUGUUUCACCCUACCGCAGGACAGGGCUCACCUGCGCGGCGGCAAUCCUAUGAGGUGGAUGAAACGAGGUGGCGGAAGCUCAGAAACAAAGCUGCUUUCCUAAAGCCAAACUGCUAUUCGGUGGUCAGGCUGGGUCUAAAACCCUAGUGUCUGAACGGAAGUCAGGGGGUUACCCCAAUAUCGAGCCGCAUGUGCAUCACCCACAAAUAAAGAGGCUCAUCACUAGGCAACGCUCCCCUGCA